ACUCCUACGGGAGGCAGCAGUAGGGAAUCUUCCACAAUGGGCGCAAGCCUGAUGGAGCAACACCGCGUGAGUGAAGAAGGGUUUCGGCUCGUAAAGCUCUGUUGUUAAAGAAGAACACGUAUGAGAGUAACUGUUCAUACGUUGACGGUAUUUAACCGGAAAGUCACGGCUAACUACGUGCCAGCAGCCGCGGUAAUACGUAGGUGGCAAGCGUUAUCCGGAUUUAUUGGGGCGUAAAGAGAGUGCAGGCGGUUUUCUAAGUCUGAUGUGAAAGCCUUCGGCUUAACCGGAGAAGUGCAUCGGAAACUGGAUAACUUGAGUGCAGAAGAGGGUAGUGGAACUCCAUGUGUAGCGGUGGAAUGCGUAGAUAUAUGGAAGAACACCAGUGGCGAAGGCGGCUACCUGGUCUGCAACUGACGCUGAGACUCGAAAGCAUGGGUAGCGAACAGGAUUAGAUACCCUGGUAGGAUACCG
rnacentral:rRNA from 1 species